rnacentral:rRNA from 1 species
AGUGAACGCUGGCGGUAGGCCUAACACAUGCAAGUCGAACGGCAGCACAGUAAGAGCUUGCUCUUACGGGUGGCGAGUGGCGGACGGGUGAGGAAUACAUCGGAAUCUACUUUUUCGUGGGGGAUAACGUAGGGAAACUUACGCUAAUACCGCAUACGACCUACGGGUGAAAGCAGGGGAUCUUCGGACCUUGCGCGAUUGAAUGAGCCGAUGUCGGAUUAGCUAGUUGGCGGGGUAAAGGCCCACCAAGGCGACGAUCCGUAGCUGGUCUGAGAGGAUGAUCAGCCACACUGGAACUGAGACACGGUCCAGACUCCUACGGGAGGCAGCAGUGGGGAAUAUUGGACAAUGGGCGCAAGCAUGAUCCAGCCAUACCGCGUGGGUGAAGAAGGCCUUCGGGUUGUAAAGGCCUUUUGUUGGGAAAGAAAAGCAGCAGGUUAAUACCCCGCUGUUCUGACGGUACCCAAAGAAUAAGCACCGGCUAACUUCGUGC